rnacentral:rRNA from 1 species
UCCUACGGGAGGCAGCAGUGGGGAAUAUUGGACAAUGGGCGCAAGCCUGAUCCAGCCAUACCGCGUGGGUGAAGAAGGCCUUCGGUUGUAAGCCUUUGUUGGGAAGAAAUCCAGCCGGCUAAUACCUGGUUGGGAUGACGGUACCCAAAGAAUAAGCACCGGCUAACUUCGUGCCAGCAGCCGCGGUA